rnacentral:rRNA from 1 species
CUAUCGACAGGCUUAACACAUGCAAGUCGAGGGGCAGCACAGGUAGCAAUACCGGGUGGCGACCGGCGCACGGGUGAGUAACGCGUAUGCAACUUGCCUAUCAGAGGGGGAUAACCCGGCGAAAGUCGGACUAAUACCGCAUGAAGCAGGGAUCCCGCAUGGGAAUAUUUGCUAAAGAUUCAUCGCUGAUAGAUAGGCAUGCGUUCCAUUAGGCAGUUGGCGGGGUAACGGCCCACCAAACCGACGAUGGAUAGGGGUUCUGAGAGGAAGGUCCCCCACAUUGGUACUGAGACACGGACCAAACUCCUACGGGAGGCAGCAGUGAGGAAUAUUGGUCAAUGGCCGAGAGGCUGAACCAGCCAAGUCGCGUGAGGGAUGAAGGUUCUAUGGAUCGUAAACCUCUUUUAUAAGGGAAUAAAGUGCGGGACGUGUCCCGUUUUGUAUGUACCUUAUGAAUAAGGAUCGGCUAACUCCGUGCCAGCAGCCGCGGUAAUACGGAGGAUCCGAGCGUUAUCCGGAUUUAUUGGGUUUAAAGGGUGCGUAGGCGGCCUUUUAAGUCAGCGGUGAAAGUCUGUGGCUCAACCAUAGAAUUGCCGUUGAAACUGGGGGGCUUGAGUAUGUUUGAGGCAGGCGGAAUGCGUGGUGUAGCGGUGAAAUGCAUAGAUAUCACGCAGAACCCCGAUUGCGAAGGCAGCCUGCCAAGCCAUGACUGACGCUGAUGCACGAAAGCGUGGGGAUCAAACAGGAUUAGAUACCCUGGUAGUCCACGCAGUAAACGAUGAUCACUAGCUGUUUGCGAUACACUGUAAGCGGCACAGCGAAAGCGUUAAGUGAUCCACCUGGGGAGUACGCCGGCAACGGUGAAACUCAAAGGAAUUGACGGGGGCCCGCACAAGCGGAGGAGCAUGUGGUUUAAUUCGAUGAUACGCGAGGAACCUUACCCGGGUUUGAACGCAUUCGGACCGAGGUGGAAACACCUUUUCUAGCAAUAGCCGUUUGCGAGGUGCUGCAUGGUUGUCGUCAGCUCGUGCCGUGAGGUGUCGGCUUAAGUGCCAUAACGAGCGCAACCCUUGCCACUAGUUACUAACAGGUGAUGCUGAGGACUCUGGUGGGACUGCCAGCGUAAGCUGCGAGGAAGGCGGGGAUGACGUCAAAUCAGCACGGCCCUUACAUCCGGGGCGACACACGUGUUACAAUGGCGUGGACAAAGGGAAGCCACCUGGCGACAGGGAGCGAAUCCCCAAACCACGUCUCAGUUCGGAUCGGAGUCUGCAACCCGACUCCGUGAAGCUGGAUUCGCUAGUAAUCGCGCAUCAGCCAUGGCGCGGUGAAUACGUUCCCGGGCCUUGUACACACCGCCCGUCAAGCCAUGGGAGCCGGGGGUACCUGAAGUCCGUAACCGCGAGGAUCGGCCUAGGGUAAAACUGGUGACUGGGGCU